rnacentral:rRNA from 1 species
AUACAUGCAAGUCGUGCGGGGGUCUUCGGACCCUAGCGGCGAACGGGUGAGUAACACGUGGGCAACCUGCCCGUAAGACUGGGAUAACUCCGGGAAACCGGUGCUAAUACCAGAUAAUCUCUUUCUCCGCAUGGAGAAAGAGUAAAAGGCUUCGGCCACUUACGGAUGGGCCCGCGGCGCAUUAGCUGGUUGGUGAGGUAACGGCUCACCAAGGCGACGAUGCGUAGCCGACCUGAGAGGGUGAUCGGCCACACUGGGACUGAGACACGGCCCAGACUCCUACGGGAGGCAGCAGUAGGGAAUUUUCCGCAAUGGGCGAAAGCCUGACGGAGCAAUGCCGCGUGAGUGAUGACGGCCUUCGGGUUGUAAAACUCUGUUCUGAAGGAAGAAGUUCUGACGGUACUUCAGGAGAAAGCCCCGGCUAACUACGUGCCAGCAGCCGCGGUAAUACGUAGGGGGCGAGCGUUAUCCGGAAUUAUUGGGCGUAAAGCGCGCGCAGGCGGUCAUUUAAGUCAGGUGUGAAAGGCUGCGGCUCAACCGCAGAGCGGCACCUGAAACUGGAUGACUUGAGUGCAGGAGAGGAGAGCGGAAUUCCCGGUGUAGCGGUGGAAUGCGUAGAGAUCGGGAGGAACACCAGUGGCGAAGGCGGCUCUCUGGCCUGUUUCUGACGCUGA